ACAUUUAGAUAAACAGCUCCUAGUUUAUGUUUAAAGAUAAAAUCCUCCAAGAUACUUGUGUAGAAUGUUGAUGGGUGUUCUAAUGUGCAUGACAACACGCUGUUACUAUGAAUGGCGUCACCGAUACUACAGUGAUAGAGGACUUCUGAACGGGCAGAGUUAGCGACAUGGCGACCCAGCUGAUCAACACGAGCGAGCGAUGUGUCGACGAGGCUCUGGAAGGCUUGAUGGCCGGGAACUCCGGUCUCCUUCUCCUGCCGGAACAGCGCAUGGUGGUCGAGCGCGCGUGGCUGACGGGGCGGCGCAAGGGAGUCGCUAUUGUCACGGGCGGAGGAUCAGGGCAUGAGCCUUUUGCCGCCGG